rnacentral:lncRNA from 1 species
UUAGGGAUAAAAAAGGGGGGCUAUUUUGUGCAACAAAAAGACCUGAAGACACAUCAUGAGAAAUCAAAUUUUGGUGCAUGAAAACUAGAGGGGAGCAUCCCUUCUUGAGAGGUCUCUUGGGCAUGAGAAAAUUAAAGGAGAACAUGUGGCUGAUCAAUGCAGUUUAAAAGAAGUUUAAAAGCCAUGUGAUCAGUCAGAAUUUUCCAUCCCUUCUGAUCAAUGCAGUUUGAACAUCACCACUUAAAAAGCCAUGCAUGACCACAGAA